rnacentral:lncRNA from 1 species
CGUGUGGGGUGGGCUUACUGCGACGGGAUGGGCUGCAUCUCCGGCGCCGGCGAGGUGGCGGCGUCGGCGAGCGGGUAGCCGAACACCCUGGAGAGGCGCUCGGUGGGGACGAGCGGGAGGUAGGUGGCGACGGCGCUGCCGCGCUUGGCGCCGUCGGCCACUGCCGUGUUGUACCUCGCCGAGAGGCUCGCGGCGGCGGGGAGCACGGCGCGGGUCACCGACGGCACGAGCGGGAGGCGGUUCAGCGCCGCCCACGCCUCCGCCGCCUUGCGCUCCGCCACGGGCUCGUACCGGGUGUAGAGGUCCCGCGCCCUGGGCUCGGCGCGGGCGAUCGCCGACUUGGCCAGCCCCGUCGCCGUGCCGACGAGCCCCGCCUGCCGCACCUCCGCCGCCGCCGAGCGGGCCAGGCCCGGCGCC